ACUGUAGCUUAGUGGCAAAGCGCUUGCCUAGCAUGUGUGAGGUGCUGAGUUCAAUCCUCAGCACCACAUA
rnacentral:tRNA from 1 species